rfam:Heligmosomoides polygyrus genome assembly, scaffold: HPBE_scaffold0000447
GCGGCGGUGGUGUAACGCGUAGCAUCGCUGCCCGGAAAGCAGAAGGUGCGGGUUCGAGUCACGCCUGGCGCA